rnacentral:rRNA from 1 species
AUUGAACGCUGGCGGCAGGCCUAACACAUGCAAGUCGAGCGAGCGGCGGACGGGUGAGUAAUGUCUGGGAAACUGCCUGAUGGAGGGGGAUAACUACUGGAAACGGUAGCUAAUACCGCAUACCAUCAGAUGUGCCCAGAUGGGAUUAGAUAGUAGGUGGGGUAACGGCUCACCUAGGUGACGAUCCCUCGCUGGUCUGAGAGGAUGACCAGCAAAACUGGAACGGGGACACGGUCCAAACUCCUACGGGAGGCGGCAGUGGGGAAUAUGGCACAAUGGGCGCAAGCCGGAUGCAGCCAUGCCGCGUGUGGGAAGAAGGCCUUCGGGUUGUAAAGCACUUUCAGCGGGGAGGCGUUACCCGCAGAAGAAGGACCGGCUAACUCCGUGCCAGCAGCCGCGGUAAUUC